AUACGGAGGAUCCGAGCGUUAUCCGGAUUUAUUGGGUUUAAAGGGUGCGCAGGCGGGAGAUUAAGUCGGCGGUGAAAUUUUGCAGCUCAACUGUAAAAGUGCCUUCGAAACUGGUUUUCUUGAGUGUAGAUGAAGUAGGCGGAAUUUGUGGUGUAGCGGUGAAAUGCAUAGAUAUCACGAGGAACUCCGAUUGCGCAGGCAGCUUACUAAACUACUACUGACGCUCAGGCACGAAGGCGUUGGGAUCAAACAGGAUUAGAUACCCUGGUAGUCCACGCAGUAAACGAUGAUUACUAGCUGUUUGCGAUACAAUGUAAGCGGCUGAGCGAAAGCGUUAAGUAAUCCACCUGGGGAGUACGUUCGCAAGAAUGAAACUCAAAGGAAUUGACGGGG
rnacentral:rRNA from 1 species